rnacentral:misc_RNA from 1 species
GAAAAUUCUCGAAGCAAACGCUUCAGAAACACUGUGUGCACCGUUUCUGUCUCUGGCAGGACCCAGGGAGCAGCGAUGCUCUCCCCUGCCAAAGGAGUGGGAGCUGCCCUUCGGGCGACUUUCCAUUCUGAGUUUGAACAACCCUAUGUUUGGGUAUUUCAAUUAUGUCUGAAUAAUUCUUCACCUAGUGUGAGAAAUUGAAAC